rnacentral:rRNA from 1 species
UUGAAAUGUAAAUAAAAAAACUAAGGUAGUAGUAGUUAUGUUCUUGAAACUUAAAAAAUUUGGCGGUAUUUUAGUCUAUUCAGAGGAACCUGUUCUAUAAUCGAUAAUCCACGAUGGACCUUACUUAAGUUUGUAAUCAGUUUAUAUACCGUCGUUAUUAGAAUAUUUUAUAAGAAUGUUAAUUUUCAGGAUUUUUAAAAGGAAAAUAUAUCAGAUCAAGGUGUAGCUUAUAUUUAAGUAGAAAUGGGUUACAAUAAAUUUAUUUAUACGAAUUUAAAUAUGAAAUAUUUAUUGAAGGUGGAUUUGAUAGUAAAAUUAUAAAGAUUAAUAAUUUGAUUUUAGCUCUAAAAUAU